rnacentral:tmRNA from 1 species
GGGGGCGUCACGGUUUCGACGGGGAUAGUUGAAGCUGUAGCAGCGUGUCGAGGUUCCUACAGGCCUCGUAAAAUAGGUAGGAUAAAUAUAAUCGCAGACAACUACGAUUACGCUUUAGCCGCAUAGACGGCUAACGUUCUCCUGAUUCCGCCUGUCGGGUCAGAUGAGGGCGUCAAACAGGCAGGAUUGUCCGUUUGUCCGUACCCGGGGGCAAACGGGUGAAAUUUUACGGGUUGGUCCUUUUUGCAUCCUGUCUUUGGGAGAUUUAAAGGAUGAGAUCAAAGCAAAGACUAGGCACGUAGAAACUGCAGUGGAAUAUUUUCGGACGCGGGUUCGACUCCCGCCGCCUCCACCA